rnacentral:lncRNA from 1 species
UAGGAGUAACAAUAAAAAAAUAAUAAUUAAUUCUUUCUUGAUUUUUUAAUUUGUUAUAAAAUGCAAGCAAUUUAGUAAAAUAUGAACAAGAAAUAUAAGUAACUUCGUGAAACAUGAACAAGAAAUGUAGAUAGAGAGAAGGAAGAGAGUUUCUUCUUCAAUUGUGUGUUUUCCUAUUUAUUACGAGGCCUUUAUAUAGGCAUAAAAAGUGAAGAAAAUAUGUCAUGGAAUAUGUCAUUCAACAUACAAAAUAUUUCAUUGAAUAUGUCAUAAACCAUUUGAGAUGAAGAUCAUGGAAGAAGACUAGACAUCCACCAUAAAUUGCUAUUUAUCAUAACACUCCCCCUUAGAUGUCCAUAGAUAAUGUGGCUCAUUAAAACAUUAAAAGGAGAAAACCCUAUGGGAAAAAAAAUUCUAGUGAAGGAAAAAGAGUACACAUGUAUAGAAAUAUGCCUUUUUGUUGCCUCGUUAAAAACCUUGCAAGGAAAACCAGCAGAGCUAUAUCUUGCCUCUUCUGUUUUUUGUGGGUGUGUGUGGGUGUGUUCUGUUUUCUUCGACAGGUGCCUAUUUUUCCGGCGAGGAUUUCCGGCAAGCUACAGUACUUCCGGCGACUCCCGUUCAGAUUUUCGGCAGCACGCGGCAGAACUACCCGUUCCGAUAAGAUUCAGGAAAACUUGCCCCAAGUACUAGUCGCGGCGGCGAGGCCAGUUUGCGGCGUUUGGGAGUGAAGAGAUAAGCAACACCAGACGGGACGUGCAAGAGUUGGUAGCAGUUCACCUCGGGCGCAUCAAAGCCUACUUUCAGGUUUUUUCACCGGGAGUUGGUACCUCCCGCUCUCUUCGGCGAGGAUUUCAGGCAAGCUACAGUACUUCCGGCGACUCCCUUUCAGAUUUUCGGCAGGACGCAGCGGAACUAUCCGUUCCGAUAAGCUUCAGGAAAACUUGCCCCAGGUACUAGUCGCGGCGGAGAGGCCACUUUGCGGCGUUUGGGAGUGAAUAGCUAAGCAACACCGGCCGGGACGUGCAAGAGUUGGUAGCAGUUAACAUAGGGCGCAUCAAAUCCUACUUUCAGGUUUUUCCAGCGGGAGUUGGUACCUCCCGCUCUCUUGUUUGCACUGUACACCUUUUUACGUAUUCUAGCUAGCAUUCCGUGUGAGGUUUACUCUGUUUCUAUCUAGUUUUCAUCUUUUUGCGUACUCCGCUAUAGUGCGUGUGUGCGUCACUAUUCUCCAUAGUCGGUUGGAGGGAUAGUGGCCGCGACGGGGGAUGAUAGUUUAAGGUCAUGUCCUCGGGGGGUGGGGUAGGUGGCGGGGGUGAGUAGGGAGGCAGGGACUGGUCCUGGGGGUAGGGAGGGAGGUAAGGGUGGGAGGAGGGUAGCUGACGCUCAUAGAUUAAGGAUUGGGUCGUGGAACAUAGGCAAUCUGGCGGGUAAGUCCAUUGAGUUGGCGAAGGUUCUUUAGAAGAGGAGGGUUAACAUAGCCUGUGUCCAGGAGACUAGGUGUAAAGG